rnacentral:lncRNA from 1 species
AUUAUAUUGUAAACUCCUCAAAGGUAGUGUGAAAGAGAAUUCAGGACUAUCUUAAUGGCUUUCUUUGUAUUCCAGUAAUGAGCAUGAUGCUUUGGCACACAGUAGUCAUCUAAUCAAUGCUGAUUGACUGACUGGCUGACAGUUGCUCUUCAGAAGUUUGGAUUUGGACUUUCGAACUCAGCUGAAACUUCUCUUUCAAAGAUGACUUUGGAUGAUGGAACAAAGAUGAUGAUGGAACCAAGUUCUCCCCUGGCUUGCCAGAAGAUGAGGACUUGAGGGCGACAGCACAGAGGCAAGAUGAAAUUGAAAAUGUCUAAUCAAUAGCUCUGAAAACCCCUUUACUUUCUGAAAUUAAAGCUCCAGUUUUUCAGUAGUCCAAAACAGUAAUUAUGCUUGGCCAUGAAAGCUGUACCAAUUUUUUGUCAAUGCACACUGGGUACAUUUUGGGUUUCUUAGC